rnacentral:rRNA from 1 species
CGAUGCAGCAGUCAGAUCCUGGCUCACUCGUGACAUCGAGUAGACCACGUAUGGUCUUCCUGGAUUCAGCGGCGGACGGGUGAGUAAUGCCUAGGAAUCUGCCUGGUAGUGGGGGAUAACGUCCGGAAACGGGCGCUAAUACCGCAUACGUCCUGAGGGAGAAAGUGGGGGAUCUUCGGACCUCACGCUAUCAGAUGAGCCUAGGUCGGAUUAGCUAGUUGGUGGGGUAAAGGCCUACCAAGGCGACGAUCCGUAACUGGUCUGAGAGGAUGAUCAGUCACACUGGAACUGAGACACGGUCCAGACUCCUACGGGAGGCAGCAGUGGGGAAUAUUGGACAAUGGGCGAAAGCCUGAUCCAGCCAUGCCGCGUGUGUGAAGAAGGUCUUCGGAUUGUAAAGCACUUUAAGUUGGGAGGAAGGGCAGUAAGUUAAUACCUUGCUGUUUUGACGUUACCAACAGAAUAAGCACCGGCUAACUUCGUGCCAGCAGCCGCGGUAAUACGAAGGGUGCAAGCGUUAAUCGGAAUUACUGGGCGUAAAGCGCGCGUAGGUGGUUCAGCAAGUUGGAUGUGAAAUCCCCGGGCUCAACCUGGGAACUGCAUCCAAAACUACUGAGCUAGAGUACGGUAGAGGGUGGUGGAAUUUCCUGUGUAGCGGUGAAAUGCGUAGAUAUAGGAAGGAACACCAGUGGCGAAGGCGACCACCUGGACUGAUACUGACACUGAGGUGCGAAAGCGUGGGGGAGCAAACAGGAUUAGAUACCCUGGUAGUCCACGCCGUAAACGAUGUCGACUAGCCGUUGGGAUCCUUGAGAUCUUAGUGGCGCAGCUAACGCGAUAAGUCGACCGCCUGGGGAGUACGGCCGCAAGGUUAAAACUCAAAUGAAUUGACGGGGGCCCGCACAAGCGGUGGAGCAUGUGGUUUAAUUCGAAGCAACGCGAAGAACCUUACCUGGCCUUGACAUGCUGAGAACUUUCCAGAGAUGGAUUGGUGCCUUCGGGAACUCAGACACAGGUGCUGCAUGGCUGUCGUCAGCUCGUGUCGUGAGAUGUUGGGUUAAGUCCCGUAACGAGCGCAACCCUUGUCCUUAGUUACCAGCACCUCGGGUGGGCACUCUAAGGAGACUGCCGGUGACAAACCGGAGGAAGGUGGGGAUGACGUCAAGUCAUCAUGGCCCUUACGGCCAGGGCUACACACGUGCUACAAUGGUCGGUACAAAGGGUUGCCAAGCCGCGAGGUGGAGCUAAUCCCAUAAAACCGAUCGUAGUCCGGAUCGCAGUCUGCAACUCGACUGCGUGAAGUCGGAAUCGCUAGUAAUCGUGAAUCAGAAUGUCACGGUGAAUACGUUCCCGGGCCUUGUACACACCACCCGUCACACCAUGGGAGUGGGUUACUCCAGAAGUAGCUAGUCUAACCGCAACUCGGACAGUACGCACAGAGUUUCCC